rnacentral:rRNA from 1 species
UACGGAGGGUGCUAGCGUUGUUCGGAAUCACUGGGCGUAAAGCGCGUGUAGGCGGUCUGCUAAGUCUGAUGUGAAAGCCCGGGGCUCACCCCCGGAAGUGCAUUGGAAACUGGCAGACUGGAGUCCCGGAGAGGAGGGUGGAAUUCCUGGUGUAGCGGUGAAAUGCGUAGAUAUCAGGAGGAACACCGAUGGCGAAGGCAGGCCUCUGGGCCACUACUGACGCUGAGAAGCGAAAGCAUGGGGAGCGAACAGG